rnacentral:rRNA from 1 species
UGGGGAAUCUUGCGCAAUGGUCUAACGACUGACGCAGCGACGCCGCGUGUGGGAGGACGCCUUUCGGGGUGUAAACCACUGUUGCCCGGGACAAACUUCUGGUUUCGACCCGACUGACGGUACCGGGUGAGGAAGCACCGGCUCACUCCGUGCCAGCAGCCGCGGUAAUACGGAGGGUGCGAGCGUUGUCCGGAAUCAUUGGGCGUAAAGGGCGCGUAGGUGGCCCGGUCAGUCCGUGGUGAAAGCGCGGGGCUCAACCCUGCGUCGGCCAUGGAUACUGCCGCGGCUCGAGCACUGUAGAGGCAGGCGGAAUUCCGGGUGUAGCGGUGGAAUGCGUAGAGAUCCGGAAGAACACCGGUGGCGAAGGCGGCCUGCUGGGCAGUUUAGCUGACACUGAGGCGCGACAGCGUGGGGAGCAAA